GCUCUCGUAGCUCAGUGGUUAGAGCAAUGGUCUAGUAAACCAGGAGUCGAGAGUUCAAUUCUCUGCGGGGGCA
rnacentral:tRNA from 1 species